ACCAAACAACGAGCACCACAAACACCGGGAAUAUUCCCUUCACUCCUUUCAAUGGCGGCCUUUUUUAAAGGUAGUAAAACAAUUCACAUCUCUUGCUCCCUCUGACCAGCAGAAACACAUAAUUAUCACAAGGCCACUUCUGGUUACCCUCAAAUGGAUCAGCCAAAAACUUCACUCCUACUUUCACAGACUCAUCUUUAUCCUGACCCUCGGUGUAAAGCCUCGGGCUCCGAGAACUUCACCACACCUAUCACCUCCGAUACUUCGCCCUCAUUCACGUUUUCAACUCACUCUGCUUACACUUUCUACCAUUCUUUUAAAAUAACCGUCUCCUUUUUCCCGCCAUUUAAAACCGACUCAAGCUCCCCCUUUUCCUCCCUCCCUCUCUCUCUCUCUCUCUCUCUCUCUCUCUCUCUCUCUCUCUCUCUCUCUCUCUCUCCGACCUCCUCAAUAUUCCAAGUAUAACUCUCCUUAUGAUAAUACUGCAUUUCUCCUGACAUACAUUUUGUUCUUGCCUUGUCAAGGGACACCAUUUAACCGGCUGUCACCGCAAGUAUUCCAAUAUGGCUCCCAACAAAACGCCAUAUAUGGACAUGUGUAGGUGACGUCCAAACUCAGUAGCUCUCCUCUCAUUGGUCCUGACGAUUUGUUUGCGUGUAGCUUGCGACACAGCCGUCAAACCAUCAUGGAAUUGAUCAAUGGAUAAGCAGAAAUGGGUACAGAUAAAUAGCUAGACAUAUGCAGUAGCUACUUAGUUUGCAACAAAACAUAUUUCAAAUACAUCUGAAGUCGAUGCACACGAGUUCUAUUCACAAAACGAUUAGCUGGCAAUUGUUUAGCAAACAUUAACUAGCUAGCUACAAUUAGCUAGCUUGCUUUGUGUUUCAGGGAUUACUGCCAAUGGACCAAGACCCUGGGCUCUGAGUCCAGGCCCAGAUCAACACUGGCAUUUAUGUGGUCUAUUAUGGCCAACACCACAAUAACAAGAGACUAUCUGUGCUAUUAAGUAUAGUAGGCAUGCCUAUAUUAGGGUUAGUAGGCAUUCCUGACCUGUCACGGCAUGUAGGGCAUUGGUCAUAGACCCUUUUCCUGGAGAGCUACAGGGUGUGCAGGCUUCUGUCCCAGCUAACACUAUUUUGACUAAUACACUGGAGGGUUUGUAAGUAUUGGGCAUGAUCCCACUGAUUACCCCACAGCUCUACAUGGUUGAAUAGUGUCUAAUGUCCUGUUGCAGGUAGGUAUACUAUAUAAUUACUCUACAACAUAGCUACAGGUAUAAGAGCAGAUAUGGAAAGUAGACUAGGCCUACUUAUUAUAGGCAGGGUUGGAUGGUGACCACUUAGUACUGGCAAGGGCAGAUCAUAAGUUACCUUGGCUUGUCAUGUGUUGCUGCCACACUGUGUUGUCUUAGGUCUCUCUUUAUGUAGUGUUGUGGUGUAUCUCUUGUUGUGAUGUGUGUUUUGUCCUACAUUUUAAUGUAAAAUCCCAGCCCCUGUCCCCGCUGGAGGCCUUUUGCCUUUUGGUAGGCCGUCAUUGUAAAUAAGAAUUUGUUCCUGACUUGCCUAGUUAAAUAAAAUAACAUAAAAAUCUUUGUUCUCUAGUUCUCUCUAUGUUCUCUAGCUCUCUAUGUGUGUUCUCUCUAUGUUCUCUAGUUCUGUCUAUGUUCUCUAUUUCUCUAUGUUCUCUCUAUGUUCUCUAGUUGUUUCUAUGUUCUCUAGUUCUCUCUCUAUGUUCUCUAGCUUUAGUUCAGGAGCCAAGGAGAUUGGAUGCACAUGGAGAGGAGGGUCAUGGAGAGAAACAUGUAGGUUAAACACAAUUCCACCAAUCUGAAAUGGUGCAGCAUCUCACACUAUGCAAUUAGAUCUCCACUUCAAAUUCAAAGCACACUGCACAAUAUGGCCUGAAAGUAUCCUUCACACUGGCUGAUAUUGUUUACACUCGAGCCUUCCUUCCUUCUAUCCCUUCCGUCUGUGUAUGAUAGCUGUGAAUACAUUGAGAGAAGAUGAAGUCCAUUCUCCUAACGUUGUUGACCCUGUCAUACUGUGAUAGCAAGGGACCCUUGUCAGCCACAUACAGUGUGAGGAUGACAAGCAAUCUAGAAAACUUAUCGGGAUGCUGUGGCAAAUUCAUGGUAAAAUCUUUGAGAUCAUUCAGUUCUUGCUGUGACCGGUCUGAGUUUGUGUGAGUGGCAUUUUACUUCUAGAGGUUGCGAUGAUUGGUUGUGGUAGGAAGUUCCUGUUGUUAGACUGGAGGAGAACAUGGGCAAACAAUGUAUUUCCACCUGUGAUCGAACUUCUGAAGUGAGCUGCCGAAGAGGGCCAGGAAGAUAAGUUAACCUUGAGUCACUCCACAGGUCAGAUGUUGCCAUGGUGAAAGGGUGCCUAAGUACCUCAUCCUCUGCUUCCUUUUGGAGAUGAAGCUACAGACUCAGGGGAUAAGGGACUCUGACUCCUAGCUGAAUCAGGAACUUUGGUACCAUUGUAAGGUCAACUUUGUUGAUGGAUUUGCCAAAAUCUGCUGUUAUUAUGGUGCAUAUACAGUAUAAUGGUCUUACUUGCAUCAGUGGAUUGUGUAUCAUGUCUAGGAGGCUGACCAUGACAUCUGUCGUUGACCUGCCUUUUUUGCAUCCAAGCAGUCUUGGGUCAAGCUUGCGGCCGAUGUCUUCCAGCAUCCAAUCGGUGACAAAACUGUCAGCCACUUUAGCUCCAGUAAUCCAUAAUUGUUCCGUAAUGGCUGUAGAACCAUUCAGACUGUGUUCAUGAUGAUUCUUAAUUAUGUUUCUUAAUUAUAUUUACUUCUGUCUCUAAGAAACCCUAGUUCUGGCCAAGAAAUGAGAGCGAGAAACACCGGAGGUUCCGUUUGUCGCCCUGACAGUCUAUUGAAAAAAAGCUCAUCCUCCACUCUCACCACAAUCUAGGUCGUGACCUUCUCCAUUGGCAAUGGCAUCAUGGAGUCCUUCUUCCCUCCUCCCCUCCCUGGGUUCUUAACAUGCAUGCCUCAUCUGGUGGCGGGGUGCUGGAACAAGACCUCUGUGUUCCGGUCCAGACUGGGGAGUUUCUCUGGAAUCCACAGGUAAAUCGUGGGAAAGUCGAAAGUAGACACCCCUUCAAAUUUGUGGAUUCGGCUAGUUCAGCCACACCCAUUGCUGACAGGUGUAUAAAAUUGAGCACACAGCCAUGCAAUCUCCAUAGACAAACAUUGGCAGUAGAAUGGCCUUACUGAAGAGCUCAGUGACUUUCAACAUGGCACCGUCAUAGGAUGCCACCUUUCCAACAAGUCAUUUUGUCAAAUUUCUGCCCUGGUAGAGCUGCCCGGUCAACUGUAAGUGUUGUUAUUGUAAAGUGGAAAGGCUAGGAGCAACAACGACUCAGCCGGGAAGUGGUAGGCCACACAAGCUCACCGCCAAGUGCUGAAGCGUGUAGUGGGUAAACAUCGUGGCCGGCCCGCUCUACUGGACCACCGACAUGGCCAUCUUCUUUGGCAUCAACAAGGAAGUGCUGCCACUAAAGCAUUUCCUCUCUCCAGGUUAGCCUGGGUAGAGUGUGGACAGGCUAACCUGGUUAUGCAAGAGGGUAGACUGACUAUAGCCAAUGCUGAGCUGGCCAAGGCUCAGGCUCAGCUGGACGAGAAACAGACCGAGUUGGACAAAGUACAAGCCAAGUUUGAUGCUGCCAUGAAAGAGGAACAGACUCGUAGGGGCAGUCCUCCAGCUCACUGGCUUCCUGUCGUACUGCAGACCCUUCAACCAGAACUUCUGCAACAAGAGGAGCUGGAUCCUGCCCUGGACAAUGUGUUGGUGAAGAACAACAUUAAUCAUAACAAAUUCCAGAUCCUCAUCAAAGAGGGUGCUGCUUUAGACCUGAAGGCAUGCCCUUCCAAGCUGUUCGUUGGAUCCUGGAUCUGACCUGGCUCAACUUGGAACUCAGAAAACUACCACAGUUCACUGAGAUCAAUUGUUUGGUGACGUGAUUAUAGUUUCCUGACAGCCAUGAGGCAGGAGGUAACCAGGGCUGGGCUCUGGACACGGGCACCCUGCAUAACGAAGUGCUGAAGCAGAGCAAGGAGAUUACGGCCUCUCCUACUGAGGGGGCCUACAUUUUGUUCCUGGAUGGGGCUGGCUGGGACCGAAGAAACUGCCGUCUCCUGUUCACCCCCAACUCCACCGCCUCAAAGUUCUUCAUCUUCUCCAUCUACAAGCCCAGGCACAAAGACUUCACCUACAUCACAGGGGUGGUGAUGCGCACAGUGCAGUCACCCGAUCUUAGUGGUUUUGCCCUGCUCUGUGACAUCAAGUAAUGGAUUUUUUUUUUUUACAUUUACAUUUUAGUCAUUUUAGCAGACGCUCUUAUCCAGAGCGACUUACAGUAGUGAAUGCAUACAUUUCAUACAAUUUCAUACAUUUUUUUUCCUGUGCUGGCCCCCCGUGGACAACUGUCUUUCUUUGGUAUUUGUGUGUGUGUGUGUGUGUAACUGUUCUUU